CGGCACGCCUAACACAUGCAAGUCGAACGGUAACAGGGACUUCGGUCCGCUGACGAGUGGCGAACGGGUGAGUAACACGUGGAGACCUAUCCUAGGGUACGGGACAACAGUUAGAAAUGACUGCUAAUACCGUAUACGUCCUAAGGGAGAAAGAUUUAUUGCCCUUGGAGGGGUCCGCGUUGGAUUAGCUAGUUGGUGAGGUAACGGCUCACCAAGGCGACGAUCCAUAGCUGUUCUUAGAGGAAGAUCAGCCACACUGGGACUGAGACACGGCCCAGACUCC
rnacentral:rRNA from 1 species